UUUUUUGUUAGAUUCUAAGGGUGAAAUGCGUGAGUUUUUGGAGGGACUAGUUGAUGCUGAUGAUGUUCCAACGUACGUUAAAGGACAUCAAUUUGGAGAACCUACGAUAACAAAUAUUCAUAAGGAUUGAGAUUAUUAUGCUAAGAUAAUUCGAGCUGCGGAAGAUCCUAGCUUUGGUUGUUCUGAUUACGAAUCUGAGUACUCUGAUUAAGGAUUUUAAUUACUAGUAUUAUGUUCUAUGAAGAAGGUUAAUGGUUUUUCCCAGAACAUUAAGUAAAUCUUUUCUUCGUAAUUGUGUACUUAUGAUGUUUUGGUGUGGUCUAGUGUUUUUUUGCAUGUUGCAAGUCUUUUGGGACUUUAUUUGUCUAUGGGUUGUUAAUGAUAUUACUAUGUUUUGAUAAUGUUUCUAUCAUCUAUGUUCAUAUUGUUAAUGGUCUUUUAUGCUUUUUCCUAUGUUUUAUAUUUAUUAGGGAUAUGGAUUUGAAAAAUAUCUUAAUUUUGAUCGGAUUUGCUGUUGCGAUACUAAACUUUCAUGAGGACAUAUUACCUCCCUAGACUAUUUAAUACCGUAUUUUUAAAACAUAUAUAUUUGUCCACGUGGACAUAAAAAGUAAUGCAAAAUUUUAAAUAGUAAUGUGUCCACGUGGACACAUAUAUACCUUUAAAAUACACUAUUAAAUAGUUCAGCGGGUAAAAAAUACGGUAUUAAAUAGUCUAGGGAGGUAAUAGGUCCUUAUGAAAGUUUAGUAUCGCAACAGUAAAUCCGACCAAAGUUGGGGUAUUUUUCAGACCCUUAUCCCUAUUUAUUAAAUACCCCUUCGUUUCAUUUUACUUGUUCAUUUUAAUAAAUCAAAAGAGUUUUGCUAUAUUUUUCCGUUACUAUCAUUUGUAUUAGAUAAUUAGUAUUUCAAAAUAUCACUAAUAAAAUUUAAAGAAUAUUUUUAGCAAUUCAGUUGGUUGUCUACUACAUAAACUUUUACUUUAUUGGUGAGAAUUUGAUUUUCCACCUAACAGUCUACCUCCUCCAAUUCCCCUCCCCCUACUCCCAAUUUAAUUUUCUUUUAAUAAUAUAAGGUUAGAUAAUUUGGUAAAAAGACCUUUGAUUAAAGUUUUAUUAAAAAGUAUGACAUUUCAAAACGGGACAAGUAAUAUAAAAGAAUGAGAGUACGAUUAUAUAUUCUAUUCAUUGAGUGCUUUUAGUUAAUUUGUAUGUUAUGCUUGUUUCAAAUUAUUUAUCGUGGUUUAUUAAGAUAAUACUAUCAAAUUUUUAUUUUUAUUUUAAAAGUCAAAGAUACAAUUAAUUGUUGGUCUCCCUUUUCACUUUUAGUAGGAAUUGUUCUUAAAAGUCUACUAAAAUCUUCAAUUCUAUAUGGAGUGAUGACACAUAAACAGAUAAAUAUUUUAAUUAAUGAAUACAAAUUAUAUUUUAACAAAGGGUAUAUAUUAUAACAAUAUAUUUCAUGAAAUCUUAAUAAAAGGUAAGACUGUCUAAAUCUUUAAUAAUUAAACGUGUAAAAGAAAAACAAGAUAGAUAAUUUGAGACAAAGAGUAAAAGAAAAGCCAUCCGACCCCUUGAUAAACUGUUGCUCCUCGAAAAUCGAAAAGGCUCCUUAAUUGAUGAUGAACCUUAUGUUUCUCUGCUAAACCCUGUAAGUUUUAAAUUAUUUUGCAUUAAUUUAUUGAUUAACAAGAUGAUUAGUGAGACUAAUUACUAUUUUUUUUAUAUUUGCAGCCUAAUACUGCUAUUUUCCCACUUACCUACAAAGUUAAAAAUAGGGGAGACACAUUUCUAGGUAACUAACUUAUCUUUGAUAUUCAUGACUAUAAUCGAAUUUCAAUUUUGUAUCAGUAAAGGUGGCUGAGUUAGUGUAUUAGAUUUUGCGCGUAAGUACGUACUUUCUCAAAGAAUAAAUAAAUAGUCAUUUUUUGUGUAAGUACAUACCUUCUAGUAACUAGUUGAUGUUGAACUAUAGUAAUACAUACCAGCUCUUUCCAUCAAACAUGAUACGAUAAAACCUAGAAAAUAACGUAAAUAUAUAUCUUGUAUAUUUAAUUAUUUUUUUGAUAUGUCCGAAUGACGAAAUGCAAGGGUUUCUAGAAGGACUUGUUGAUGUUGUUCUAAUUUACGUUAAUGGACAUUUAUUUGGACAAUCUGCGAUAACAAAUUCUCAUAAUCAUUGGGAUUACUAUGCUAAGAUAGUUCGUGCUCAUGCAGUAUAACCUGGAUUUGGCUGUCCUGAUUAUGAAUCUGAUUAUUACACUGAUUAGGACUCUAAUUACCAUUAUAUUCUAUGAAAAAGGUUAAUGGUUUUCUUAGAACUUUAAGUAAAUCUCUUGUUAGUUAUUGGUACAUGUUUUAGUGUGGUCUUAUGUUUUUUUUUUUUUUUGCAAGUCUUUUGUGACUUUAAUUGCCUAUGGGUUAUUAAUGAUAUAUAACUAUGUUUUGCUAAUGUUUUAUGAAGAGACCACAAAUUCAUGUGUCUUAUAUUUUUGCUUCUAAAUUCGUUAGAGUGUAUUAUUUGCGAGCUAGAUGAAUUUAAAUUUGCACAAAGCAGAACCUAUUUUUAUAAAUGACAGUUUCAAUUACAAAAAGAAUUAUAUUCUCGAAAUAAAAACUUCAAAAUCUCUGAUUAAUAAUGAAAAAAUCUCAAUCAUCCUACUAUAAUUUAAUUCAUAUCGAUGAAGACUUGCAACUUGCAAAAACACAAGACCCCACCAUUACAUCAAAAGUACUACUAAUAAGAAAUUAUUGUGAAAUAAAGUGAGAUAACCAUGUUAACUGCACUGUAGCAAUCUUGGUGUCCAAGUUUUUUCUUCCACACUAACAAUAGUAAUAAUAGCUAAAUAAUUGACUUAUAUAUAGCUAGUUAAUUGACUUCUACUCUCUCCAUCUCAAUUUAUUUAUGUGACACAUUUCAGAUUUUGAAUUUCGAUGAAGUCUAUUUUUUAUUAUAGAUUUUUUCAUAUCUUUAAAAUAUUAUUAAUUAUUAAUUAUUGUGAAAAUUUCAUACCCAAAUUUUAAGUUAAAUUUAAAUUGUCACGUAAAUUGGGACAUACAUAAUUUGGAUAUUUAAAUAUUGAAUUAUAUUUUAAUGUAAUUUAUGUUCAAAAAUUAACUAGGAAUGGAUCAUAUUUUGGUUAAUUUGAUUAGAAUUAAGGAAAAUUAUGCUUUAAUUACAAUAGUUAUAGCCCACUUUUUAUUUACACCCAAAAUAAAAUUUAGAUUUGAUUUUUUCAAAUUUCCCUUUAUGUGAUGUCCGUACUUCACUUUUAUUGAUGCAACGGUGACAGUACAAAUUAAUUUAAAACUCUCAAGUAGAAAAAUUCAAUCAUAUAAAAAUAAAAAUAAAAAGACUAAUAAGUACUAUCGACUACUUUUCUUUCAAAAAGAAGGAGGUAUAUUUGACCCCAUUAUAAAGUACUUUGAUAGAUGGAAUAAUUAAAAUUAUCUAGCAUUGUAAAAAUAAAAAAUUGUGGAGCUAGUAAUGACACGUGAGUUCGUUCAAACUUAAUAAAUUUUGCUUAAAUAAUAUAUUUAUAUUAAUAAAUUUAUUAAAUAUAUAAUACUAUUAAGUUUUAAACUUAAUAAUUAUCACUUAAACUUGUUGUUGUAACAUUUAAAAUUCAUAAAAUUAAAAUCAUAAUUUUGCAUCGGACUUAAUUAUAAAGUAACUCCACUAAUUUUCUUGCUAAAUGUGAAAAAACAAGAAGGACCACUGGAAAAAGAAAAGAAAAAAACACUGAGAAGAAAAGGAAAAAGAAUAGAACUUCAACUAAUAAAGACGUAUUUUGUAAUAAUAUCUAAAUAUAAUAUAAUUAGGAGAAAAGUAUUGAAAAUCACCUCUAAAUUUGGUGUAAAUUAUUAGUUUUAUUUUUGAAUUAUUGAUGGUCUUAAAAAUACCCCUCUAUUUGAUUAACUAAACUUAGAUAUACCCUAAUUUGUCACAUGAAUAGCAUGUGAUCUCAAACUCUCGUAGGAGCAUGGGACUCUUAAUAAAAAAAGUAGAGAAAGUGUUGAAAACACUCUUAAACAUGACAAGAAAUUAGGGGUGUAUUUCACUCAUUAUAUCGGGAAUGUAUUUAAGUUUAGUUAGUCAAAUAGAGAAGUGUUUCUAAGACUGUCUAUAGAUCAAAGAUAAAAUUAAUAAUUCACACCGAGUUUAAAAAUAUUUCCAGUACUUCUCACUUAAAUUAAUGUAUAUCAUUCAAUUAAAAGAUGACAUAUGGAUUAUUAAAAUAAAAAAAUUCUCUCACCUUGUCAUAUUAAGUUCAUUGACGGAAGGGAUAAAAAUAAAGAAGCACAACGUUAACUAAUGAAACUAGAGAGGAAUUUUUAACCAUUUUCUUUAAAUAAUUUGAGAUAAGUAUUUUUUAAAAAUCAUGACAAAUAUUUUGAAAUAUUAUACUCCUUUCGUUCCUUUUUAUAUGUCAUUAAUACUAUAAAUAGUUGGUCCAUAAUACUUGUCAUUUCUUAAAAUCGAUACAUAAAUUAUAAUAUUCUUCCUAUUAUAUCUUUAAUAGUUAAUUAAUCUAGGAAAACUAAUAAGUAAUUAAUGUUCAUUGUAAUUACUUCAUACAUUGAUUAAUUACUCUCACCAUUGCAUUACUUUAUAAAAUCUGAUUUUGAAAAAGAAAUCUUAACAAACAAACUAAAAAUGAAAGAUGGAUUUAUUUAUCAUUUAUUGAAAAGUUGACUUCAAAUAAACAUUAAAUAAGGGUAGAAUUGUUAACUUGCUUAGUUUUUAAUAGGGAUAAGGUCUGAAAAAUACCCCAACUUUGGUCGGAUUUGUUGUUGCGAUACUAAGCUUUCAUAAGGACCUAUUACCUCCCUAGACUAUUUAAUACCGUAUUUUUUUACCCUCUGAACUAUUUAAGAGGGUAGUUUAAAGGUAUAUAUGUGUCCACGUGGACACAUUACUAUUUAUAAUUUUGCAUUAUUUUUUAUGUCCACGUGGGACAAAUAUAUAUGUUUAUAAUACGGUAUUUAAAUAAUCUAGGGAGGUAAUAGAUCCUCAUGAAAAUUUAGUAUCGCAACAGCAAAUUCGACCAAAGUUGGGUGUUUUUCAGACCCUUAUCCCUUUUUAAUACAAGUGAAAUCUAAAAAUAUGAGAUAUAAAAAUGAAUUUUUAAAGAUGUUACACUGAUUUGAUCUCCUCUUUUUUUUCAUUUGAUUAAAUGAGAAUACCACUUACCAAAAAUCCAGCUUAACUAAACAUAAUUUUAGUUUUUUUACCAUUAAUUAAUAGACCUUUUUAUGCCACUAUAUAUAUUUUAUAGGAUCAUAUCACUCAUUUGUGUCCAUACAAUCUUUUAUCUCUAAAUUUUUCUUCAAAUUAAUUUCAAGUAUGACAAGUAAUCUGAAGUUGAAAAAUGUUGUGGUUGAUUCUGAUAAAGAUAAUAGUGAUCAUGAAGAUGAAAAAGUUACUAAAAUAUUAGAAUUGGAUCUUCCUUUGGAGAAAUUGAACCUUGGUCCUAAAAAAAAAAUUCUUGUGCUUAAUCUUGGUGGGCUACUAGUCGAUAGGGUGCAUCGCCGCAACGAGUCUGCGGUGCGGAGAUACACCCCGGACCUUGCUCACGGCAAUUUCCUAGGUUAGUAUGUUUACAUGUGUCCGCGUUUUUAUUAUUUCUAAUCUGAUGUUUAGUACUCGUAUUUGGAUCAAGAUGAAAAAUCACAAUUUUAUUAUUUCUGAUCUGAUGUUGUUUUAAGUCACGUUGUUCAAGAUUCAUGGAUUGAUUUCUAUCCCAGGAUGGUGUGUUUCAAAUCAUAAAGUUUGAUUUUUUUUAUUAUGUUAUAAGUUAAACAUAAUUAUAAUUUGUUUUUGUUUUUUUGUAUUAAAACAGUCUUCAAGAGACCUUAUUGUGAUCAAUUUAUGAAGUUUUGCCUUGAAAGAUUUGAAGUUGGACUAUGGUCCUCUGCUAUGGAGUUAGUAUUAAUUAAAUUAAUAUAAUUUUAUUUUUUAAUUAGUGAAUUAAUUAAUUGAUCAAUUAAUCUAAUUAUUGUUACUUUUUAACUUUUCUUUUGUCCAUAUGAUAGUCGAAACGUGGAACCAAUUUUAGACAACAUCAUGAUUGGCCUUCGAAAAAAAUUGGUAUUUGUAUGGGUAAGCCAUUUUUUAUUUAAUUUAGUUUAAUUAAUUAAAUUAAAAUUGUAUUGUUCUUGAUUAUUUUUUUUAAAAAAAUUUUAGGAUCAAGAAAAAAGUAUUGAUAGUGGUUUUCCAACUGUGGAGAAGCAAAAUAAGCCAAUAUUUUUGAAGCAAUUGAAGAAAAUAUGGGAAAAUAAUUAUUAUGGUGGAAGAUUUUCAGAAUAUAACACACUUUUAAUUGAUGAUGAACCCCAUGUUGCUCUACUAAACCCUGUAAGUUUUAAUUAUUUUUCAUUAAUUUAUUAAUUAACAAGAUGAUUAGUGAGACUAAUUGUGAAUUGUUGUUUGAUUUGCAGCCUAAUACUGCUGUUUUUCCUCCUGCUUACAAAGUUAAAAAUAAGAGAGACACAUUUCUAGGUAACAAACUUGUCCUUGAUAUUCAUAGCUAGUCGAAUUUCAAUUUUGUACCUGGCUAAGUUAGUGCAAUAUGUGGUAUCUGAUAAUUGACUUUAGGGAUCUAAUUCUAAUGAGUUGUUGUACAUUAGCGGAUUUACCUAGCCCAAAAAAAAAAUCUAUAUAAUAACUAGGUUCAUGUUCAAAAUUCUAAGGUUUAUGCACUAAUGAUAAAGCUUGGCCUACAAUGAUAUGUAAAGUUUGUUUCUAUCAAUCCUGAUAUGAUAACUUGAUAAAAAAAUAUUGUUUUCAUUUUUUUGUUAGAUUCUAAGGGUGAAAUGCAUGAGUUUUUGGAGGGACUAGUUGAUGCUGAUGAUAUUCCAACGUACGUUAAAGGACAUCAAUUUGGACAACCUGCGAUAACAAAUACUCAUAAAGAUUGGGAUUAUUAUGCUAAGAUAAUUCGCGCUGCUGAAGAUCCUAGCUUUGGCUGUCCUGAUUAUGAAUCUGAUUACUCUGAUUAAGGACUCUAAUUACUAGUAUUAUGUUCUAUGAAGAAGGUUAAUGGUUUUUCCAAAAACAUUAAGUAAAUCACUUCUUAGUAGUUGUGUACUUUUGAUGUUUUGG
rnacentral:lncRNA from 1 species